rnacentral:pre_miRNA from 1 species
AAAGUACUCCCUCCGUCCCAAAAUUCUUGUCUUAGAUUUGUCUAGAUACGGAUGUAUCAAGUCACAUUUUAGUAUUAGAUACAUCCGUAUCUAGACAAAUCUAAGACAAGAAAUUUGGGACAGAGGGAG